CUGCUGCCUGCGUGACUUCCUGCUUCUUGGUUCAUGGAGGGAGGUGGAGCCCAAAUUCACCUUUCUUUAAGGGUUAACAUGGCGUUGGAAUGAGGAGAGUCAGUUAAAGUAUGGAUUUUCUAUGAAUUUAUAAAGCUAGGUAUCUUCCCUGAGCUUUCAAGUCGAAACAGCAGGCAACUGCGAUGCCGUCGAAACCACCCCGUUUCAGAGCAGGUGGUCAGUCUGCUAGUGGACCUCUGGGUGCCUCGCAAGGAUUUCUGACUCCUGGUGGUUUUCCCAGAGCAAAGCAACAAAAGGCUAAGUUUAUACAUCUGAACUGGGGGGGAAGGAGGAGGAGGAAGA